rnacentral:tRNA from 1 species
CCGGGUGUAGGGGAGCCUGGUACCCCGCCUGCUUUGGGAGCAGGAGUGUCGCUGGUUCGAAUCCAGUCACCCGGA